AUUGGUUCCAAUACCAGUGCCCUAGCUUUGGCAAUAAAAUCAUCAUAUAGAACACAAAGCUUGAAAAGCAGCCAACAAGGUGUACAAACUUGCUGCCAAACUCAAAGAAAGCCUAAGAAUGCUACUCAGCCAUUCCCCUUAUUAAUCAGAGACAAUUAGUUACACCAAGAUACUUGCACCAACCAACAAAGGUGUACAAACUUGCUGUACGUGGGUGGAUUUGAUAUAAUAUAGGUGUUAGCCAACAGAUUUUUUGCAUACUUUACCAGAGUCUAACAAUGCUACUCAACUGUCCACUUAA